UACGAAGGGGGCUAGCGUUGCUCGGAAUUACUGGGCGUAAAGCGAACGUAGGCGGUGUUCCAUGUCAGAGGUGAAAGCCUGGGGCUCAACUCCAGAAUUGCCUUUGAAACGGGAACGCUUGAGUCCGAGAGAGGGUGGCGGAAUUCCUAGUGUAGAGGUGAAAUUCGUAGAUAUUAGGAAGAACACCAGUGGCGAAGGCGGCCACCUGGCUCGGUACUGACGCUCAGGUUCGAAAGCGUGGGGAGCAAACAGG
rnacentral:rRNA from 1 species